UCGCCUCCCGGCAGUGGGAUUAACUAAGCAGCGCUCACCACACAACUCUCCCCUCACGCAGCAGCUGACUAGCAGAAAAGUGGAGUGGAUCACUGAAGACUUGGUUACAGGACCAGCUAAGGGACAACAGACAUGAGCAUUUCCGGUUCAUUUUACGGGAUGAACCAUUUACGCUUUGUCUAGCCACUGUCUCCCCUAUACACAUGGGGUUUGGACUAAAGCAGGAAAGAAGAAAGUUUUCUCUAUUACGUGGAGAGAUUGAUCCCAAUUCUGUGGGAGAACUGGGUUGCUGCAGGGAGUAUGGUCCAGCUUUGUCUCUGAGGCAGAGUUCCUGAAAGGAUCCACCUAAAAUAAAGAACACGGCGUUAGGAGACGCACGUGAAGCUACCGUGUCUGCCCUUAGGGAACAGAGGGUGAAGGAGACCAGGAUCAGGAUGUGAGCUCAGAAACAAAUGCACGAUGGAAAGCAUGCAGCAACGAGGAAGGAGGACCCUCUCACAUUGCCUGAAAAGACAGCCCAUCCUCAGUGGAUUUCCUAACCUGCUAGAGUACAGGAAGCAUCUGCUGAAUCAAGGGGAGACCAAAACUGUAAGAGCAAAUACAGAUCCAGAUGAGCCAUCUCUACACAAAGGCGGAACCCUAAAGCCUUACUUGCUAGUGGGAGCUCAGGCUGUCCUAGCUGCACUCCUGAAGGAUGCUGGGAGCUCAGGCUGUCCUAGCUGCACUCCUGAAGGAUGCUGGGAGCUCAGGCUGUCCUAGCUGCACUCCUGAAGGAUGCUGGGAGCUCAGGUUGUCCUAGCUGCACUCCUGAAGGAUGCUGGGAGCUCAGGUUGUCCUAGCUGCACUCCUGAAGGACACUAAAAGAAGAGAAGCACCCAGCACCCAGAACCCAGCACCCAGACAAAUGCGAAAGACACAACUUAAAAUCCCCAGGUUUCCUCAGCAAUCAUCCAAGACCUACAGAAACACACGUGGAAUUUGUGUUGACUUUCUACUUCACAUACGCAGGCCUUCAUGAUGGCAAAACGGCUGGGGGGGGAGAUGAUAACUCUGGGCCAUCACUGACAUUCUAGGAGACCUGAAGCAGAGCACACCUAAAGUCUGCUUUCAAGGCAUUCUGUAUGAUUUGAAACUAAACAGGGAUGAACUUCCUAUCUGUAUAGAGCAUAUAUAAUUUCCCGUGCUCUCUACCCCACCAGAUGGCAUGUAUUUGGUUUCUUUCUAUUUUUUAUGAUUACAAAAUAACACGAAGAACUGGGGAGAUGGCUUAGUGCUAAGGCAUAAGGUCCUGAGUUUGGAUUCACGACACAUGCACGAAAAGCCCAGAGUGGGAACUUCUGCCUGCAAUUCCAAUGGGCAGGCAAAGAUGGGAGAAUCCAGGAGCGCACUGAUUGCACAGUUUAGUCAAUUAAUGAGCUCCUGGUUCAGUGAGAAACCCUGCCUUAAAAAAUUAAAGCGGAAAGUGAUUGAGAAAGACACCCAGCAUUUGUCUCCUGCCCACACCCCGCCGCAUACUUGCAGACAAAGAACACUUACACACAAAAAGGAUAUCCAAUUUGGAUAUCCAACUCUUUUUGUUUGUUUGUUUGUUUUUGAGACAGGGUUUCUCUGUAUUGUUUUGGAGC